rnacentral:piRNA from 1 species
UUGGAGCCAAAGUCUCACUGUGGUAGC